ACUCUGGAGUCUGCUGGCCCAGAGCUGGCCACAGCCCUUGCCCGCGGAGAACUCGCCCUCCUGGGGAGUCCUCCCUAGAGACCAGAAGCCAGCCAGCCCCCCCCAGAACCCCAGAGAGUCAAGAAAUUAGUAGUGACCGUGUUGGGCAUGUGCUAAUGGCCGAUGCCUGAAACAUGGAGAGACGGGAGCAGGCAGGACAGGAAGUCAAGUGCCAGACAGGAUCUGGGGACAGGGGGCUGUCUCCGCCUCCUUUCCUUCCUCCUCUGCUUUCCCCACCCCGCCAUCAGCCCCCACCCCGUGGGGCCGGUGGAGCAGAAGCCACAGUCACUUCCUGAAGGCAGCGGCCCAGCUCAGGUCCCACUUGCCCUGUGGCCCAUCACCGGCCUGUAGCCAUGGGGAGCCAUCAGGACUUCCGGAGCCUUCAAGCAAAGUUCCAGGCCUCUCAGCUCGAGACCAGUGAACUCCCCAAAAAGCCCUCCAAGCCUGAGUUCAACAAACUACUAAAGAAGCUUCCAACAGCUGAGCUAAGUGAGCACCCCAAAAAGCCCCCGCAGCCCGAGGUCAAUGCAGGGCCCAGGAAGUCCCCGCAGCCCAGUUUCCCUGAUCUGCCCAGGAAGCCCCCCAAACCCGAGUUCGGUGAAUUUUCCAAGAAGUUCCCACAACUCGGGGCCCCGCAAGAGGCCUCGCAGCCUGAGCCUGGCCGCCCAGCCCGGCCUCCCCCGGAGCCCAAAUCCAGCAGCUUCCCCAAAAAGCUACAGCAGGCUGAGCCCAAUGAGGCCAUCCCAGACCCCUCACAGCCCGACUUCAGAACCCUCCUAAAGCCCCUGCAGCCUCAGGUUGGUGACCGCCUUAAGGUCUGCCUGCUGAAGCCUGAGUUCAGUGAGGUCCCUCAGACACCCCCCUGGAAGACUGAGUCCAGUGAGCUCCACCCACACCCCUCAAAGCCUGACUUCAGUACCCUCCCCAAGAAGCUCCCACAGCCCGAGUUCAGUGGGCACCCCAGAAAGCCCCCGCAACCUCAAGUUGGUGACCACCCGAAAGUCUGCCUGCCGCAGCCUGAGUUCAGUGAGGCCCCUCAGACACCCCCCUGGAAGGCUGAGUCCAGUGAGCCCCACCCCCAGCCCUCACAGCUCGAUUUCAGCACACUUCCCAAAAAGACCCCUGCCCCUCAGCUGAGUGACCUUCCCAAAAAGCUCCUGCGCCCCGACUUUGGUGACCUUGACCUCAUCAGGAGGUCCUCGGAGCCUGACGUCAGCGUGGUUCCCAAGAGGCCACGGCAGUCUGAAUCCAAAGGCCCCUCCAAGAAGCCCCUGCAGCCCGAGCUGGGGGGCCUCCCCAGGGUGUCCUCAGAGCCCGAGUUCGGCCUACUCCCCAGCAAGCUCCCGCAGCCGGAGUGCCAGCGGCUGCCCCGCAAGCUCUCGCAGCCGGAGCCCAGUGCUCUGCCCAAGCAGCACCGGCAUGCCGAGUUCUUCGGUGACCUUCCGAGAAAGCCCCCGCUCCCCGGCUCCGUGUCGGAGAGCUCCCUCCCCACUGCGGUCGCGAGGCUCCCACUCAGUCUUGCUUACGCUGGACGGCCGCGGCUGGGCCUCAAACCGGCCCACCCACCCCGGCGGAGACCUCUGCCCCCGGUCAGCAGCCUGGGACCCCCUCCAGCCAAGCCCCCGCUACCUCCCGGCCCCAGGGAUGUUCAGAGCUUCCAGAGAGCCGCAGCUGCAGCCACAGCUCUGAGGAGGGCUCGAUCCGCUGCUGCGAUCCACUUCCAGGCGCCACAGACUUUUAAAGAUAUCCCGCAUGUCUCUGCAGGGACCAGGAGGAGAUCUACGAGCUGUAUGACGACGUUGAGCCCCCAGACCACCCCAGCCCCAGCCGCAAGGGCACAGUUGGGUGACCUGGGAGCGGUCAGGAGGAGAAGGCGAACCGGUGGACAAGACGGAGUGCCAUCUACCCAGCAAGCCCCCAGGCCAGCGCAAGACCCAGAGCUCAGGAAGGAGAAGGCCCCCCAGCCGCAGCAGUUGCCGCCUGCAGACCCGAAGUCCCUGAAGCAGAUCCGGAAGGCAGAGAAAGCCGAGAGGGAGUUCCGGAAGAAGUUCAAGUUUGAGGGGGAGAUAGUGAUUCAGACAAGGAUGAUGAUUGAUCCCAACGCCAAGACGCGUCGUGGGGGCGGCAAGUACCUGGGGAUCCGGCGUGGGGAGAUCCUGGAGGUGAUCGAGUUCACCAACAAGGAGGAGAUGCUGUGCCGGGACACCAAGGGCAAAUAUGGCUAUGUGCCCAGAACAGCUCUACUGCCCCUGGAGACGGAAGUGUAUGACGAUGUUGGCUUCUAGGGUAUGUGAUGCUCUGGGUGGGCUGGAAGGGACCACAGUGCCCGGAAGGAGACCCUCUGGAGCUGACCAUCCCCCCGGGAACAAUCAGGCCCACAGGUGUGGGGUGCCCAGGACAACAUGCCCACCCAGCCAUCUGCUAACCCAGGAGUCUUGGAUCCCAGCGUGGCAGUCCCAGAGCCCCCAGGCUCAGGCCUGACUGUACACACGAACCACAUAAAGCUCCUAUUUAAAGCA